rnacentral:rRNA from 1 species
AACGAACGCUGGUGGCAUGCCUAACACAUGCAAGUCGAACGAGACCUUCGGGUCUAGUGGCGCACGGGUGCGUAACGCGUGGGAACCUGCCCUUAGGUUCGGUAUAACUCCCCGAAAGGGGUGCUAAUACCGGAGAAUGUCUUCGGACCAAAGAUUUAUCGCCUUUGGAUGGGCCCGCGUUGGAUUAGCUAGUUGGUAGGGUAAAAGCCUACCAAGGCGACGAUCCAUAGCUGGUCUGAGAGGAUGAUCAGCCACACUGGGACUGAGACACGGCCCAGACUCCGACGGGAGGCAGCAGUGGGGAAUAUUGUGCGAUGGGCGAAAGCCUGAUCCAGCAGUGCCGCGUGAGUGAUGAAGGCCUUAGGGUUGUAAAGCUCUUUUACCCGAGAUGAUAAUGACAGUACCGGGAGAAUAAGCACCGGCUAACUCCGUG